GAGCGAGAGGGACGUUGCUGCAAGUAUGCUUUUGACGCUUUAAUUAUUAACUAAGCUUUUAACUGAAAUGUAAUAAUGUCGAACUGCAGGAGACAAACUACUGAAAACGUGGGUCGUCGUGCUAACUGUGAGUUAAAUGCGGAAUUGGACCUGUUGGAUGGCGAGCUAGAGCCUGAAGCUUUUAUGCCUGGAACCGAACCAACAGAACUGAAUCCACCCAAGCGAGCCCCGGGCGGGAACAAACGGUACUUACAGGGGACUUCUUGUCGAUGGGCUUGAUGAUGAACUUCUUAUCGUUGAAAGAAAUGUUCCUGAUUUCGCUCCAGGGGAAUCCGAUCUUAGGGGUCAUCCUGAAAAAAGUGAACAAAUCAAUUGGUAAGGUGAGAUCUUUGCUUGUAGAACCAAAUGCAAGAGUUCAACGGCCUCCCCCAACAAACGGCGGAGGGGGUGAACGACCGAAAGUUGCGGCGGGAUGACGGGUCAACGCUCGCCAAACAAAUGUUUUGUUCCCACCUGUCCUCCUUCUCGUAGAUGUUGAGGCCCAGGGCGUCCACGCCCAACCACAGGUCGGUGUUCUUCUUGUUCUUGAUGUCAAAGUAGUUGAUGCCGUACAUCUCCAAGUCCUGGGCGAUCUUCAGGUACUCGAUCAUGGCCUCCUCCCUGCGGGGGGAGGGGGGGAAGUCACGUCAAAAUGAUUUAAGGGUGGACUUUUGGGAGCGGUUUCGGGUGAACCUGAGUGUUUUAGGAACCGGCGAAGUGGAGAUUUGUGUUUAACACAGGUGUAGAGGGAAUGUGCGUACUGUUUCCGACUGUCUGUGAGGCCCUGAAUGUGUCAUGACGAAGGCAAAGGUGACCGGUGGGCUCCAGUUUAAAUUUGGACGUUACUGGUAAA